rnacentral:rRNA from 1 species
CGACGUGGGCGGUUCGCCGCCGAUGACGUCGCGAGAAGUCCACUGAACCUUAUCAUUUAGAGGAAGGAGAAGUCGUAACAAGGUUUCCGUAGGUGAACCUGCGGAAGGAUCAUUG